rnacentral:rRNA from 1 species
AGAUUGAACGCUGGCGGCAGGCCUAACACAUGCAAGUCGAGCGGAAACGAGUUAUCUGAACCUUCGGGGAACGAUAACGGCGUCGAGCGGCGGACGGGUGAGUAAUGCCUAGGAAAUUGCCCUGAUGUGGGGGAUAACCAUUGGAAACGAUGGCUAAUACCGCAUAAUGCCUACGGGCCAAAGAGGGGGACCUUCGGGCCUCUCGCGUCAGGAUAUGCCUAGGUGGGAUUAGCUAGUUGGUGAGGUAAUGGCUCACCAAGGCGACGAUCCCUAGCUGGUCUGAGAGGAUGAUCAGCCACACUGGAACUGAGACACGGUCCAGACUCCUACGGGAGGCAGCAGUGGGGAAUAUUGCACAAUGGGCGCAAGCCUGAUGCAGCCAUGCCGCGUGUGUGAAGAAGGCCUUCGGGUUGUAAAGCACUUUCAGUCGUGAGGAAGGUAGUGUAGUUAAUAGCUGCAUUAUUUGACGUUAGCGACAGAAGAAGCACCGGCUAACUCCGUGCCAGCAGCCGCGGUAAUACGGAGGGUGCGAGCGUUAAUCGGAAUUACUGGGCGUAAAGCGCAUGCAGGUGGUUUGUUAAGUCAGAUGUGAAAGCCCGGGGCUCAACCUCGGAAUAGCAUUUGAAACUGGCAGACUAGAGUACUGUAGAGGGGGGUAGAAUUUCAGGUGUAGCGGUGAAAUGCGUAGAGAUCUGAAGGAAUACCGGUGGCGAAGGCGGCCCCCUGGACAGAUACUGACACUCAGAUGCGAAAGCGUGGGGAGCAAACAGGAUUAGAUACCCUGGUAGUCCACGCCGUAAACGAUGUCUACUUGGAGGUUGUGGCCUUGAGCCGUGGCUUUCGGAGCUAACGCGUUAAGUAGACCGCCUGGGGAGUACGGUCGCAAGAUUAAAACUCAAAUGAAUUGACGGGGGCCCGCACAAGCGGUGGAGCAUGUGGUUUAAUUCGAUGCAACGCGAAGAACCUUACCUACUCUUGACAUCCAGAGAACUUUCCAGAGAUGGAUUGGUGCCUUCGGGAACUCUGAGACAGGUGCUGCAUGGCUGUCGUCAGCUCGUGUUGUGAAAUGUUGGGUUAAGUCCCGCAACGAGCGCAACCCUUAUCCUUGUUUGCCAGCGAGUAAUGUCGGGAACUCCAGGGAGACUGCCGGUGAUAAACCGGAGGAAGGUGGGGACGACGUCAAGUCAUCAUGGCCCUUACGAGUAGGGCUACACACGUGCUACAAUGGCGCAUACAGAGGGCAGCAAGCUAGCGAUAGUGAGCGAAUCCCAAAAAGUGCGUCGUAGUCCGGAUUGGAGUCUGCAACUCGACUCCAUGAAGUCGGAAUCGCUAGUAAUCGUGGAUCAGAAUGCCACGGUGAAUACGUUCCCGGGCCUUGUACACACCGCCCGUCACACCAUGGGAGUGGGCUGCAAAAGAAGUAGGUAGUUUAACCUUCGGGAGGACGCUUACCACUUUGUGGUUCAUGAC